rnacentral:lncRNA from 1 species
AGGAAGAGGAAGAGGAGGAGGGGAUGGGGAGAAGUGAGGCUGGGAAUGUGGCUCAGUGGCUCAGUGCCCUUGUUUAAGUUCCUAGAACUUCAAAUGAAUGAAUAAACAGCAUAAACAGAUACGUAAGAACUCCGGGUCCCCAGAGCGAGGACAGGCCUUCUUUGGAAUCAGGUCUUUCUCUCACGAAGUCAUCUGGCCAGAAACAAUGGCUACCCAAAGGCAGGCAGUGGGGGGGUAUUUUCUGGACGGAAGUGGCUGUAGACUGAGCUAUCACUAUAGAAUUCCUUCUUCAAGUAGGAGUCAAGAGACUAUGUACUCAUGGAAACCAAUGGUUAUGUCUUAAGGUCAACGGUUCUGUCGAUUCUAGUGCUCACGAUCAAGCAGGCAGUUAAGUCCCCCCAGUCUUCCAACUGUGCCUGUUUCUGCUGCCGACGAGGGAGGGGCCUCUCGGGGGCCUCUUGCGGCCCCUUCCAUCUCCUGCGCCACCAAAUGUGGGCUCUGCAGGGCAGGCGAGUGCCGACGAGGCAACCUCUGGUCUCGGCUUCCCACAAUCCUCCUCCUCCCCGUUAAGAGAACUUGCGUUUCUUCAUGGCUUCCGCCUUGACCGCCAGGCUCUUGGCACAGAUGGUCAGGACCACGAUGAGAACACCCACCACAAACGCCACCACCGGCCAGAGGAAGCAGUGCAGGAGAGCAAUCUCGUCGUGUGUGCGCUGUAGGAGAACGUCCUCUGGUCUGCAAGAGAGUGGAGGACAGGAAAGGAAGACCAGUGAGUCUCUCAGCCCAGCACAUUCUACACAACCUGCAGACGACAAGUGCUCUCCGGCGUAGGGAAUAAUCACCCUUGAAAGUGAUGACUCUGAUUGCAGACACCGUCCCAGACUGCUCCACACCCAUUUCCAAAAGCCGUGAGCUCUCGAAUCAAGCAUGUCUAACCUGCAGCACUUGCAGGUCACAUGCAUCCCAAGAUAACUAUGACUGCCGACCAGUACGAUGAAAUACCACAGCACGACAUCAUAGCUUCAAAAGGUAGUUCUCAGAUCAACCGAGCCUGGCUAUAUGAACCAAAGGCUUUAUUAAUAAGCAGGCCUCGGAUGAGCUGAAUGUAGGGUCUCAUGUUUCUGCGUGAAACUAAUCGUCCUCCGGAGCCGCUGCCCACUCUCUUGGUUAAUCCUGCAAAGUGUCAGCGCACAGCUGCCCACCGCUGCCAGGUGACCCCAAGCAAGCAAGAGAAGGUCCAAGCUGUCUCUCAGGAUGCUCUCUCUGGAGAACACUAUUCUACACCUUUGAAACUCUUGAUACAAAGAGGAGUUCUAUUUUCUUCAUCAUAAAGGUCAGCUGCACUGCAACAUGAAUACACUUGAUACCAAGGAGCCAUGCACUAGAAAUUGAUGGUGUGAAAAACAAAAGGAAAGGCAUUACUGAGGAUGGCACUGAAUGCCAUUAUCACAAUAAGGAACAACCCAGCCAGUGAAAGAGCUCCUAAGAGGGAGUCUGGAACCACCACACCCCGGAGCACUGGCUGGAGAAAACCCGGGAGGAAACGGGCAGGAGAGAAGGAAGCGACCGGAAACUGUUGGAUCCAAAAGCGUGUUUUCCUCAGAAACUUUCUAGAAUUCCAUCUCCUGGAUCUUGGGCAACACUUAUGUUUCAGAGCUUUAAGUGACAAAAUAAAAUGACUCAUUGGAGCUGAAU